GGGUGUAGCCAAGUGGUUAAGGCACCGGAUUUUGAUUCCGGCACUCGUAGGUUCAAAUCCUGCCACCC
rnacentral:tRNA from 1 species